rnacentral:rRNA from 1 species
UGGGGAAUAUUGCACAAUGGGCGCAAGCCUGAUGCAGCCAUGCCGCGUGUGUGAAGAAGGCCUUCGGGUUGUAAAGCACUUUCAGCGAGGAGGAAGGUGGUGAGCUUAAUACGCUCAUCAAUUGACGUUACUCGCAGAAGAAGCACCGGCUAACUCCGUGCCAGCAGCCGCGGUAAUACGGAGGGUGCAAGCGUUAAUCGGAAUUACUGGGCGUAAAGCGCACGCAGGCGGUUUGUUAAGUCAGAUGUGAAAUCCCCGGGCUCAACCUGGGAACUGCAUUUGAAACUGGCAAGCUAGAGUCUCGUAGAGGGGGGUAGAAUUCCAGGUGUAGCGGUGAAAUGCGUAGAGAUCUGGAGGAAUACCGGUGGCGAAGGCGGCCCCCUGGACGAAGACUGACGCUCAGGUGCGAAAGCGUGGGGAGCAAAACAGGAUUAGAUACCCUGGUAGUCCACGCUGUAAAACGAUGUCGAUUUUGGAGGUUGUGCCCUUGAGGCGUGGCUUCCGGAGCUAACGCGUUAAAUCGACCGCCUGGGGAGUACGGCCGCAAGGUUAAAACUC